UUACGGCCACAUCCCGAUGAAACAGCGGUUCCCGUACGAUACACCGAAGUUAAGCAACAUCGAGCCUGGUCAGUACCUAGAUAGGUGACCAUUUUGGAAUACCAGGU